GAUGAACGCUGGCGGCGUGCCUAAUACAUGCAAGUCGAGCGAACAGACGAGGAGCUUGCUCCUCUGACGUUAGCGGCGGACGGGUGAGUAACACGUGGAUAACCUACCUAUAAGACUGGGAUAACUUCGGGAAACCGGAGCUAAUACCGGAUAAUAUAUUGAACCGCAUGGUUCAAUAGUGAAAGACGGUUUUGCUGUCACUUAUAGAUGGAUCCGCGCCGCAUUAGCUAGUUGGUAAGGUAACGGCUUACCAAGGCGACGAUGCGUAGCCGACCUGAGAGGGUAAUAGGCCACACUGAAACGAGGACCCGGUCCGAACUCCUACGGGGGGCAGCGGGAGGAAAUCUUCAGCAAGGGGCGAAAGCCUGACGGGGCAACGCCGCGUGGGUGAUGAAGGUCUUCGGAUGGUAAAACUCUUUUAUUGGGGAAAAAAAAAUGUGGAAAUAACUAUGCACGUCUGGAGGGUACCAAAUCAGAAAGCCACGGCUAAUUAGGU
rnacentral:rRNA from 1 species